AGUGAACGCUGGCGGUAGGCCUAACACAUGCAAGUCGAACGGCAGCACAGGAGAGCUUGCUCUCUGGGUGGCGAGUGGCGGACGGGUGAGGAAUACAUCGGAAUCUACUCUGUCGUGGGGGAUAACGUAGGGAAACUUACGCUAAUACCGCAUACGACCUACGGGUGAAAGCAGGGGACCUUCGGGCCUUGCGCGAUUGAAUGAGCCGAUGUCGGAUUAGCUAGUUGGCGGGGUAAAGGCCCACCAAGGCGACGAUCCGUAGCUGGUCUGAGAGGAUGAUCAGCUACACUGGAACUGAGACACGGUCCAGACUCCUACGGGAGUCAGCAGUGGGGAAUAUUGGACAAUGGGCGCAAGCCUGAUCCAGCCAUACCGCGUGGGUGAAGAAGGCCUUCGGGUUGUAAAGCCCCUUUGUUGGGAAAGAAAUCCAGCUGGCUAAUACCCGGUUGGGAUGACGGUACCCAAAGAAUAAGCACCGGCUAACUUCGUGCCAGCAGCCGCCGUAA
rnacentral:rRNA from 1 species